rnacentral:lncRNA from 1 species
CCCCGCUGGAUUUCCUGGAGUGAUGACAACCCAGGAAGAAGGUACUAUUGCCGCGUCUAUGGAAUUGUAAGCUCUCCCUCUCCUUAUCUUGGUUUGUACCAAUUUUGCUUCUUCUUUUCCUUUUGUUGGUUCUGAUUCGAUUUACUGUUGAGUCUGUAAUCAGAGAGAUGGUAGUGACUAUUUCCUGUGGCAUGAUUAUCCUUGCCCAUUCAUCAGGCAACUGCUUUUGAUCUUCGAGAUGUACCGAGGAGGAUUGAGGAUGAACUCUAUGAUGGACAACAAGCAUGGCAGAGAAAUGUAGCAGAUGGUGCACACGGACAACAAGUUGAAGUGAUGAGGGAGAGAGUUGCAACAACUAUUCCAUUGAUUGAGAAAGUAGAAGAGAACAAUGUUGAGAUUGAGGCAUUGAGGGGCAGAGAACUGUAGCAUUGUUUAGGACUGCUGUAUGGCAUCAUGAUAUUUCUGUUAGGAGUAGUUGCAACAAAAAUGCUAGGUUAUUAGAUCAGUGAAUGUAAUGUGAGCUUUUGGAACACUGAAUUAGCAAGUGACUGGAUGUUGUAAUGCAUUUGGUACCCUUUUGUAAGACCAACUAGCAGAAUAUGUCCAUUAUAUAAUGGAGAUUUGUAGUACUGUUGACAUCUUAACAGAGAUAUUGUCCAAAUGGAGAUUUGUAGUAUUGCUGAUAUCUUAACUUGCA